rnacentral:lncRNA from 1 species
UGCGAUGCCGGAAAUCACGCCGGCAGGACAACCGGAGAAGAAGAAGAAGGAGGAGUUGGUACAAAGAGGCAUCUCUCUCACCUUGCUAUUGGAUCUACGGAGGCUCUACCUCCACUGUCAAACUGCGUCCAGGCAGGGACGCACGUCGUUCUCGCCGCUAAAGCCUUGAAUGGCGGCGCCGCCAUGGCCAUACAGCAUUGAUGCGAUCAGAC